rnacentral:lncRNA from 1 species
CCCCCGGCCCUGGGUCGUUCUGGGACACCCCGGUGGCUGUAGGUGGUCCCAGGGGGAUUGGGGUGACGCCCGGCAUGGGUGUUUUGGGGAGCCCCCCCCUCUGUUUGCCACCCACCCCCUGAGGCACGGGGUGCCCCUGGGCAUGGGGCAUCCCUGGGAACCCCCCCAUCCAUUGACCCCUUCCCCGGGUAUGGGGUACCUGGGGGAUGCCGUCACCCCCGUGGCAUGCUGGGGACCCCCCCGAUCCACCCAACACCACCCAGGACAGUGUAGGACAACCCCCCCCCCGGGAUUUGGGGUAUCCCUAGGCACUGGGCAUGCUGGGUGCGCCCCCAUCCACGUGCCCCCACCCCCCCCCAGGCCCCUGGGAACCCACCCACAGCCCCCUUGGCAUUUGCAGGGCACCCCCAUUACAAUGCUCCCCCCCCCAAUAUUCUCCCCUGGCAUGGGGCAUCUGUGGGCAAGGGGCAUCCCGGGGACUCCCAAAUCCACUCUGUCCCCUCCCAGGCCGCUUGGGUUCCCCGGGGACAUGGGGGCACUGCAGGGCACCAUCCAUCUUCACGCACCCCCUGAAGCCCACCCCCAGGGCACACAGCCCCCCCACCCGCUCUGUUUUGUCCCCCAACCCCCCCCCCCACACCCUGCAGAGCCCCAGCAACACGCACCCCACAACUUGUGCCCUCGGCAUCCCCAAAUCCCUCCGGCUGCUGCUGGGCAGAGGAAAGUCCCGGAGCGGGACCCCAGCCCCCUGCCCAUCGGUGGCAGAGGCUGGGGGGGGACAGGAGCCCGGAUCUUUGGGGUCCUUGGCGCAGGGAGGGCAGUGGGGACGUGGGGUGGAGGCUGGCAGAGCGGCACCCGGCACCGAUCCUGCUCUUCGCCCCCAUGUGCCCGGGCUGGCGAGGGCGGCGGCGGGGCGGCGGCGGCCCGUGCCAGCGCUGCUGCCCCACGCAGCUCCCUAUUGUCUGGCCUCAUUAGCCGCUGUCUGCUCCGGGCUUUGAACAUGAGCCGGGCUCGGGGCGGCAGGAAGGAGCCUCUUCUCCCCAGGGAUGGGGUCGAGGCAAAACCGCAC